CAUAUUCUGUGAGCAGGGAAAGAGGGGGAGUCGCAAGACCUCUUGCUUUAGGAGCGGCCGAUGUCGGAUUAGCUAGUUGGUGAGGUAAAGGCUCACCAAGGCGACGAUCCGUAGCGGGUCUGAGAGGAUGAUCCGCACACUGGGACUGAGACACGGCCCAGACUCCUACGGGAGGCAGCAGUGGGGAAUUUUGGACAAUGGGCGCAAGCCUGAUCCAGCCAUGCCGCGUGAGUGAAGAAGGCCUUCGGGUUGUAAAGCUCUUUCGGUGGGGAAGAAAUUGCUUCGGUUAAUACCUGGAGUAGAUGACGGUACCCGCAUAAGAAGCACCGGCUAACUACGUG
rnacentral:rRNA from 1 species